CGUUGAUGCCAUGGAAUAGGGAAUAUUACUGCACAUUUAUCCCGCCAGAAAAAUCGUUUUCUAUAAGAUAAAUAAAACUUCGAAAACUAUGGGAUACGCCUCACGCUGUAAAAUUUUCGAGCGAGUAAACAAUCGAAAAGAAACUCGGAACACUUUACACGUGAAGACUUAUUAAAAUAUGGACUUUAUACAGGAUAAUCCACUAACUCCUUCCUUUUUCCUUUAUACUCGCACCACGAUUACGUAGAAGGUAUUUUUGGUCGUAAAUGGUGGUGAACGUUUUCCCAGGUGUCUUAGCUAAGUGAUGUAGUAAGGUAAACUUAGUCAAUCUAUAAUAAAUCACACUCAGAUUUUUUUAUAAAUUAAGGAAGAUAAUAACAUAUUCAGAUUGUAUCUCACCCUCCACGAGAAAUUUAUAAUGGUUUUUAUCGAAGGAUGCCGGAACGGGCUUGCUAGAGUGUUAUUUCUAUCCGCCACAGGCGCGGAGGGGCUGCCGCCCGAGCUGAUGAGUCGUAGACAGCCUAUUUGUAUAAUAAAACUAUGCAGUGCGGAUGCACCGUCUAUACAAAAUAGGAAUAUAAAUAAAUGAAAUAAAAGUGUAUUUGUUUAGAAUUUAAUUAAGUAUAAUUAAAAAUAUUUUCGUUCAUUUUGUAGUAACCUAAAUAUACUUAUAACUUGAAGUAGGUGUUUAAUUUAUCAAAGCAGUUUUAACGACAUAUUAAUCAAUGCUCCAAGCAUUAAGCAAUUCUAAAUCUAGUUACAUGAUAGUACUAAAACUAUUGAAAUUAUCCGUGUUUUUUUCUGUACAUGUAGGUGAUGUUGAGGACAACCGUCGUACAAACGCAUUAUUCUGCUGAUCUUGGCCUCAUCUUGCCUCCUCACAAUUAUUGGAAUAAUAUUAAGUACUGAGUAUUAUUUACAUGUGUUUACAGUCUUUAUAUAAUUUAUUUUAAGAGAUCACUUCUUAGUGUUGAAACCUUCUCCUGUAGGAUCUAAUAUCCAUGGAUAAUGCGCAGGACAUUCCAUGCAAGUAAACAGACGUAAUGUUUCACCCGGUAAUUCUCGGGUGGUUAAUGGACAAGCAUUUGGCAAGGAACAGAAAGGUUGCCCUUUGACAUCACAUUUUUCUUGUUUCCAUUCUUGGAAAUCUCUUAGAGAUGAUAGUUCAGUUGGAUUUUGCAUCCAUUGAAUAACUUGAAUUAAUGAAGUGAAGUAUACAUCGUUCUUCUCCAGCAUUUCUUCAAUGAAUUUGAUCAGUUCAUCCCUGAAUUCCUUCUUGGAUUUAAGCCAUGAAGCAUGGAAAUGGAGACCAAGCGGGGCACGGUUGGUUGUGUAGUGGCGGUUGAAGUUGUGGCGAAGAAGACGACCGAACUGUUCUCCUGUUUGGAUGUUGGAACAUGAGUCUACUACGUGACAACCUGGUAGGGAUUCAUCGAAUGUGGGGUCAUCUCUUCUGUCUAAUUCGUUCAUUACCAUCUCCCAAACAGGAUGACUUCUAGAUGGGCAGUUAUGGGCAUUUCCGUUACAUUUGUGUGGCAUACGGAAGUAAAGAGUGUAAGGCCAAAUUGGUACACGGCUGAGGGGUGCAGUAAUAGACGCAUCAUAAACAAAGUAUUGGUCCGCCAUCAUUUCAAAUUGUUUGUUUCCACCAACCCGGAGAUAGGGAGCGCGGA